rnacentral:lncRNA from 1 species
GCUACCAAGAGGGAGAGAAAUCCCCUGUCUGAAUGUGGUGGAGCCCUCAGGGAUUUGCAGUUUCACAUCUACGUAAAAAAGCUGUUACAGCCAAGCACGGUAAACCAAGACAUGCAGAUGAGUUUGCUGUCUUCCUGGCUGUCCCCGUGUGAGAGUAGAAUCAGCCUUGCCUCUGAAACUGAGUCCUUCAGAAGUCAAACCAAAGCCUUUCACAGAUGCUCAGUAUUAACGUGCUGUUUGGGGGUGCCUGAGGUUGGCAUUCAGUUACAGGAUUGGUUAUGCAUUCAAUUAAUGAGAGAAAAAUCUAAACAUAUUAAUGUCAGAAAUCCCUGAACAAGCCCCUAUAACAAGCAUUUCAAAUGACUGAGACUUGUGAAUUUUGCAUCAGUGUCUCCAUUGUCCAUCAGUGUACAAGGCUUAUUAACACCGCUACUCCUGUAAUUAUGCCUAUUGCAAGUUUUCUGGCUUGCAGGAACGUUGGGGAGAUCAGUUCACUGGUGGUGGUUCUUGGGUGGUUGGACGUGACGGAAAAGGAAAUUAAUUAUCUUUCUCCAGACCACAUUUUGAAUCAUGGGCAGUAGAUAAGGCUCCAGGGCAUGUACUUCAAUAAUGAAAACAAAAUAGCAAAGUAUCAGCUCUUCUGUGCUCCUGAGUAGGGCAGGGGUUCUUCAGAUAGGCCUAUGUCCGUAUACCAGCACCACUUGAACAGUGCAGGGAUCAUCCAGACUGGAAGCCAUCCUCCACGUGCCCCAGUCGCGUGGUGCAAUGCCUGUGUCCCGCAAGGACCACAGAGCCUCGUGGCACGUUUUGGGCGUGAGGUAUGGGGAAAUACAGAAGUAUGCUGCUGCAUGGGUAAAGGGGACCUGCUGUGGUCUGGCCUCACCCCAAACCUGUGUGCGGCUGUGGGCUCUACCACAUGGAAAGGCCGUGAAGGAACCUCAAAGCGACUGGAGGAAGAGCUGGAGGAAGGGAGGGCUGAGUCUCUGCAGGCAGACAGGAGCAGCUGAACACAGACAUAAUGCAGAGGCAGCUACCUCCUGUCAGCAGGACCGAUGCCAAAUCAAUGCGAGUUUUGCCAGUCAAGCUUUGCUGUGUGCAUUUGUCCAUAGGUAAGAUCAUCCAUAUAAUUUUUAAGUAAUGGCUGGUUAUAACCAAACGCUCAAAUACAAGGAACAGCUAAUUCGCACCACCCUUUCCAUAUUAAUGAGGGAUCCCAGUGGUAGUAUCUUAUUCCUCUGUUGACUGUUUAAGUACGUAGGACUACUGUUCUUGCAUGUAGGACUACUUUCCAUACUUCCUAGACUGAUGUUUUUUGAUGGAGAUAGUUUCCAGGGCUCUGCAGCUGUGCGGAGGGAAGCUGACAGCAAACUAAGCAGGAAGAAAGCACAGCAAUGAAAGCCAUGGAGCUUGGGAAGGAGCUCCAUGGCCAGGAACUACAUGUAAAUACCAUUGGCCAGGAAAUACACGGAAAUACUUUGAGAACACAGAUGAGUAAACAGACACAGUGGGGGCAGCUCAAGUAUCAUCAGAUGAGGCCUGAUAAGGAGGAAAGAAACUGACCAUCGUUCCCAGCUAUUUCACAGGACAGAGUCUUACACUUCAACAUAAACACUGAGAGCACCAGGAAAAAGUCCCAUCUCCAUUAUUCUUGCCUGAAUUUACUAUUAGUUGUCUUUCCCCAAGCCUGUUAGCUGCCCUUUUCGUUGCCUACUCAGUUUGCUGUAAGCUUCUUGGAUUCUCAGCCAGAGCUUCAUCCUUAACCGAACAGUCCUUUCGUUGGGUGUGCUACUAUUACCUCUCUCUUUAGACUCUUAAUGGAUUUGGAAGGUCCAUGAGGGCGGCAGCACAGAACAUUUUGGUUGCUGCACUGCGUGAGCUCCGACUCCCCACGUGUAACUGGAGUGCCUGCACGGUUUGAUGGCAUGUGGCGUGUUCACCUGUGCACAGGGGGCACGGGUCGAGUAGUUAUAGAAAGUGUAGCUAAUACCGUGUGUAACUUACAUAACUACGAUAUGCAGUAGUUACAGGGCAUCUGUGUGUGGUGCGCUUCAGAGUAACCUUCCCAUUGCCCUGUCAUUUUGCUGGCGUUUUUCCUCUCGAUGUGCACUCGUUUGGCGUUGGUUUUGUUCGCUUGUUUUGCUGAGGGCAAAAGACUUCAUUUCUGAAGACUUCACGUUACCGGGGCGCUUAACAACAGCGAGAGCCCGAAAAUCCAGCCAGGUGCUCGGCGGCCACUUUCGCUUUCCGAGGGCGCCCUGGCAGCCCGGGCUCGCUGCGUGCCCAAACUUCGGCAGAGCCGCGUGCGGGGCGCCCUCACCUCGCGGCUCCCUCCGGCCGGGGCAGGCCCGGCCCUUCCCCAGGGGCCCGACCCGACCCCGCGGGGCCCGGCCCGGCCCCUCCGCCCCCGGCCCUGCCCCGGCGCUGACGUCCCUCCNNNNNNNNNNNNNNNNNNNNNNNNNNNNNNNNNNNNNNNNNNNNNNNNNNNNNNNNNNNNNNNCCGCUCCCCGCCGGCGGCG